AAGUGCUCUGAUUGUCCAUUCGCAUUUCUUGUGGCCUUCGAGUGAUCUUGUCACCGCUUCUCAAGAUGUGUGCAUGGGCAUCGCAGUACUU
rfam:Hymenolepis diminuta genome assembly, scaffold: HDID_scaffold0000269